rnacentral:rRNA from 1 species
AUUGAACGCUGGCGGCAGGCCUAACACAUGCAAGUCGAGCGAGCGGCGGACGGGUGAGUAAUGUAUGGGGACUGCCUGAUGGAGGGGGAUAACUACUGGCAACGGUAGCUAAUACCGCAUACCCUCAGAUAACCCAUAUGGGAUUAGCUUUUAGGUAAGGUAACGGCUUACCUAGGCGACGCUACCUAGCUGGUCUGAGAGGAUGAUCAGCCACACUGGGACUGAGACACGGCCCAGACUCCUACGGAGGCAGCAGUGGGGAAUAGUGCACAAGGGGCGAAAGUCUGAUGCAGCCACGCCGCGUGUAUGAAGAAGGCCUUCGGGUGGUAAAGUACUUUCAGUCGGGAGGCGUGAACGACAGAAGAAGCACCGGCUAACUCCGUGCCAGCAGCCGCGGUAAUUC